UUCUAGAUUGGGCCAUAAGAAACGAGCUUUGAGGAUUCCGGAAUCAUUCCUAAAAGGUGAGAAGGCAAAGGCUCCAAAAGUUGUGCUCUCAGAGUUUGAAAAAGAAGUCUACCACAUUGCCACAAAACGGAUUAGGGAUACAUAUCCCAAUCCAGAAUGUGUGCAAAUUGGGCGAAUGUCCAUCACUGUCAGAGAGUUUGGUGAUACCAUGAGGCCAAAGAAAUGGCUCGGCACAUUUGUGAUGAACGUAUUCACUGAAGCACUUAUGCAUGAUCAAAGCAAAGUUUCAAAACCAAAAAUAACCAAGGGCUUCUUGACAUCUGCUGAAGUUGAUCACAUGAAAAGAAAUGAUCUUGACAUUGAACUGCUUAAGAAGAAGCUCCAUC